UGUAGUAAUACAAGGCAGACGGCUCAGUAACGCGUAGUCAACCUACCCUAUGGACGGGGAUAACCUCGGGAAACUGAGAAUAAUACCCGAUAGAACAUUAUGCCUGGAAUGGUUUAUGUUUCAAAUAAUUUAUUGCCGUAGGAUGGGACUGCGGCCUAUCAGUUUGUUGGUGAGGUAAUGGCCCACCAAGACUAUUACAGGUACGGGCUCUGAGAGGAGUAGCCCGGAGAUGGGUACUGAGACACGGACCCAGGCCCUAUGGGGCGCAGCAGGCGAGAAAACUUUGCAAUGUGCGAAAGCACGACAAGGUUAAUCCGAGUGGUUUCUGCUAAAGGAACCUUUUGUCAGUCCUAGAAACACUGAUGAAUAAGGGGUGGGCAAGUUCUGGUGUCAGCCGCCGCGGUAAAACCAGCACCUCAAGUGGUCAGGAUGAUUAUUGGGCCUAAAGCAUCCGUAGCCUGCUUUGUUAGUUUUCGGUUAAAUCCAUACGCUCAACGUAUGGGCUGCCGGGAAUACUGCAAAGCUAGGGAGUGGGAGAGGUAGACGGUACUCGGUAGGAAGGGGUAAAAUCCUUUGAUCUAUUGAUGACCACCUGUGGCGAAGGCGGUCUACCAGAACACGUCCGACGGUGAGGGAUGAAAGCUGGGGGAGCAAACCGGACUAGAUACCCGGGUAGUCCCAGCUGUAAACUAUGCAAACUCAGUGAUGCAUUGGCUUGAUGCCAAUGCAGUGCUGCAGGGAAGCCGUUAAGUUUGCCGCCUGGGAAGUACGUACGCAAGUAUGAAACUUAAAGGAAUUGGCGGGGGAGCACCACAAGGGGUGAAGCCUGCGGUUCAAUUGGA
rnacentral:rRNA from 1 species